rnacentral:rRNA from 1 species
CCACCCUACGGGAGGCAGCAGUAGGGAAUCUUCCACAAUGGGCGAAAGCCUGAUGGAGCAACGCCGCGUGGGUGCCGCCGGUCUUCGGCUCGUCCCCCCCUGUUGUUAGCGCAGCAAGUGCGUGAGAGUAACUGUUCACGUUUCGACGGUAUCUAACCAGAAAGCCACGGCUAACUAAGUGCCCGCAGCCGCGGUAAUACGUAGGUGGCAAGCGUUAUCCGGAUUUAUUGGGCGU